UGUAAGUUUAAUUGCUGAAAUUUCUGUCUCUGUGUGUAUUUAAUAUGAAGUUUGAAUUCGGAUGUGGUAAGUUUGGUUGUGAGAAAAUAGUGGCUUUUGUAGUUUAUGUCAUGAAAAAAAAUGGAGAUUUAUGUGAAGUCGGUGAAUGUAAUUUAGCAUUGCUUAGUUGACAUUUCGUCUUGUAAUAUAAGUUUUAUGAAGGAUAAUUUGAGUUGCUUCAACUCUGAAGAGC
rnacentral:misc_RNA from 1 species